CCGUUGUACACACCGCCCGUCAAGCCAUGGAAGUUGAGAGAGCCUGAAGUCGAUAACCGCAAGGAGUCGCCUAGGGUUAUAUCAAUGACUGGGGCU
rnacentral:rRNA from 1 species